rnacentral:rRNA from 1 species
CUACUAGGGUUUCUAAUCCUGUUCGCUCCCCAUGCUUUCGCUCCUCAGCGUCAGUUACAGCCCAGAGUCCCGCCUUCGCCACCGGUGUUCCUCCUGAUAUCUGCGCAUUUCACCGCUACACCAGGAAUUCCAGACUCCCCUACUGCACUCUAGUUACGCCCGUACCCACUGCACGCGCAAGGUUGAGCCUUGCGUUUCCACAGCAGACGCGACGAACCGCCUACGAGCUCUUUACGCCCAAUAAUUCCGGACAACGCUUGUACCCUACGUAUUACCGCGGCUGCUGGCAC